CAGGAGCAGGAAAAGAUAGAUUUUUUUGAGAGAACCCAGUAUUAACACGCAAUAACUGCAAUGGAUACACUUGACGAAAUUACAGUAGACACUUUAAGAGUGUGUUUUAGCUGCCAAUGUUGGGGAAGAAUUACUAUGGUCACGCUCAAGGGAUGACAUUAAAGAUUUGCUGCCAGGUCCAGAAAAUGUUCUCAGGCACAGGGCACUGUGGUUUCUUGUGAACAGUGAUGAAAAGGUUGAAGGUGUUGCCAAAGAUGUGGAGCCAUCAAAACAAUCUGCCAUUGCAAAUAGCCGCUCUCCAGAAGACAGACCCAAUCCCUUAAAGUAUCUAGCCAUGUCCAGCCCAAAGUAUACUGUCUACACAGAUAGUGAACUUGAACAAGCCCGUUCAUCCUACUUUGAACAAAAACGCCUUGGCUCCACCACUUCUGACUUGUCCAAGGAACUCUUCUGCAGACUGAUUAGAAACACCAUGACAAACAUGGUGUCCAUUGCAAGAGCCCUUGAAGACUCAAGGUACCCUUCCA